rnacentral:rRNA from 1 species
UGGGGAAUUUUGGACAAUGGGGGAAACCCUGAUCCAGCCAUCCCGCGUAUGCGAUGAAGGCCUUCGGGUUGUAAAGCACUUUUGGCAGGAAAGAAACGUCAUGGGUUAAUACCCCGUGAAACUGACGGUACCUGCAGAAUAAGCACUGGCUAACUACGUGCCAGCAGCCGCGGUAAUACGUAGGGUGCAAGCGUUAAUCGGAAUUACUGGGCGUAAAGCGUGCGCAGGCGGUUCGGAAAGAAAGAUGUGAAAUCCCAGAGCUCAACUUUGGAACUGCAUUUUUAACUACCGGGCUAGAGUGUGUCAGAGGGAGGUGGAAUUCCGCGUGUAGCAGUGAAAUGCGUAGAUAUGCGGAGGAACACCGAUGGCGAAGGCAGCCUCCUGGGAUAACACUGACGCUCAUGCACGAAAGCGUGGGGAGCAAACAGG